GGGCCAUAGCUCGAUGGUAGCGCAUUUGGCUUGCAUGUAGAAGGUCCCAGGUUCAGUCCCUGGCAUCUCCG